AUUGAACGCUGGCGGCAGGCCUAACACAUGCAAGUCGAGCGGAUGAAGGGAGCUUGCUCCUGGAUUCAGCGGCGGACGGGUGAGUAAUGCCUAGGAAUCUGCCUGGUAGUGGGGGAUAACGUCCGGAAACGGGCGCUAAUACCGCAUACGUCCGGAGGUAGAAAGUGGGGGAUCUUCGGACCUCACGCUAUCAGAUGAGCCUAGGUCGGAUUAGCUAGUUGGUGGGGUAAAGGCCUACCAAGGCGACGAUCCGUAACUGGUCUGCGAGGAUGAUCAGCCACACUGGAACUGAGACACGGUCCAGACUCCUACGGGAGGCCUCAGUGGGGAAUAUUGGACAAUGGGCGAAAGCCUUAUCCAGCCAUGCCGCGUGUGUGAAGAAGGUCUUCGGAUUGUAAAGCACUUUAAGUUGGGAGGAAGGGCAGUAAGUUAAUACCUUGCUGUUUUGACGUUACCAACAGAAUAAGCACCGGCUAACUUCGUG
rnacentral:rRNA from 1 species